CCUUGGGAGAGUUAUAUCAAACUGAAGUAGCUUUUAGCAAAACAGGACUCUGUGAAUAAGGAA
ncrna:unclassified sequences RAGATH-18 RNA